AAAACUCAAAGGAAUAGACGGGGACCCACACAAGCAGUGGAUCACGUGGUUUAAUUCGACAAUAAACGGGGAAUCUCACCUAGGCUUGACAUCCCGAGAACCCCCUGGAAACAGGGGGGUGCCCGUAAGGGAGCUCGGUGACAGGUGCUGCAUGGUUGUCGUCAGCUCGUGCCUUGAGGUGUUCGGUUAAGUCCGUUAACGAGCGCAACCCAUGUCCUUAGUUACUAUGUCUAAGGAGACUGCCUUGGUUAACAAGGAGGAAGGUGUGGAUGACGUCAAAUCAGCAUGGCUUUUACGCCUAGGGCUACACACAUGAUACAAUGGUCUGUACAAAGAGAACCGAGACCGCGAGGUGGAGGAAAUCUGCAAAACUGGGCCCAGUUCGGAUUGGAGGCUGCAACUCGCCUCCAUGAAGUUGGAAUCGCUAGUAAUGGCGCAUCAUCUACGGCGCCGUGAAUACGUUCCCGGGUCUUGUACACACCGCCCGUCACAUCAUGGAAGCCGGUCGCACCCGAAGUGCCUGUACCAACCGCAAGGGGGUAGGGUCCUAAGGUGUAGCUGGUAACUGGGAUGAAGUCGUAACAAGGUAACCAAGGGCGAA
rnacentral:rRNA from 1 species